CACGGGGGGAGCGAGCGUUGUUCGGAAUCACUGGGCGUAAAGGGCGUGUAGGCGGCUCGGUAAGUGGGAUGUGAAAUCCCCAGGCUCACCCUGGGAACGGCAUCCCAAACUGCUGGGCUUGAGUGCGGGAGAGGAUGGGGGAAUUCCUGGUGUAGCGGUGAAAUGCGUAGAUAUCAGGAGGAACACCGGUGGCGAAGGCGCCCAUCUGGCCCGUUACUGACGCUGAGGCGCGAAAGCUAGGGGAGCAAACGGG
rnacentral:rRNA from 1 species